AAUGGAGAGCUGUGCUGAAGAUUGGUGCCAAUGAGCCAUCACAGCUUGCUAUCAACGACAAUGCCAAUGGUCUGGCACGUUAUGCCAUCAUCUGCCAGGAGAAUGGCUUGGUACCAAUUGUUGAGCCCGAGAUCCUUGUGGAUGGCUCCCACGACAUCAACAAGUGUGCUGAGGUGACAGAGCGUGUUCUUGCUGCUUGCUACAAGGCCCUCAACGACCACCACGUACUGUUGGAGGGAACAUUGUUGAAGCCCAACAUGGUCACACCCGGCUCUGAUGCUCCCAAGGUUACCCCCGAGGUGGUUGCCGAGUACACCGUCCGUGCCUUGCAACGAACAAUGCCCCCUGCAGUCCCGGCUGUUGUCUUUUUGUCUGGUGGACAGAGUGAGGAAGAGGCCACCCGCAACCUCAACGCCAUGAACAAGCUGAAGGCAAAGAAGCCAUGGACCCUCUCUUUCUCGUUCGGACGUGCUCUACAGCAGAGCACCCUAAAGGCAUGGGCCGGCAAAGAGGAGAACGUCGGAAAGGCUCAGGCUGCAUUGCUUACAAGGUGCAAGGCCAACUCAGAAGCAACACUCGGAACCUACAAGGGUGACAGCGCUUUGGGCGAGGGUGCCGAUGAGAGCCUCCACGUUAAGGACUACAAGUACUAGGUUCAGUUUUUUGGCUUCCCUUAGAUUUUCUCGG
rnacentral:lncRNA from 1 species